rnacentral:rRNA from 1 species
AUACGAGUUUGAUCCUGGCUCAGAUUGAACGCUGGCGGAAUGCUUUACACAUGCAAGUCGAACGGCAGCACGAGGGCAACCUUGGUGGCGAGUGGCGAACGGGUGAGUAAUACAUCGGAACGUGCCCAGUCGUGGGGGAUAACGUAGCGAAAGCUACGCUAAUACCGCAUACGAUCUAUGGAUGAAAGCGGGGGACCGUAAGGCCUCGCGCGAUUGGAGCGGCCGAUGGCAGAUUAGGUAGUUGGUGGGGUAAAGGCUCACCAAGCCUGCGAUCUGUAGCCGGUCUGAGAGGACGACCAGCCACACUGGAACUGAGACACGGUCCAGACUCCUACGGGAGGCAGCAGUGGGGAAUUUUGGACAAUGGGCGCAAGCCUGAUCCAGCCAUUCCGCGUGCAGGAUGAAGGCCUUCGGGUUGUAAACUGCUUUUGUACGGAACGAAAAGGUUUUCCUUAAUACGGAGAGCUCAUGACGGUACCGUAAGAAUAAGCACCGGCUAACUACGUG